UACGUAGGGUGCGAGCGUUGUCCGGAAUUAUUGGGCGUAAAGAGCUCGUAGGCGGUCUGUCGCGUCGAUCGUGAAAACUUGGGGCUUAACCCUGAGCUUGCGGUCGAUACGGGCAUGACUGGAGUUCGGCAGGGGAGACUGGAAUUCCUGGUGUAGCGGUGAAAUGCGUAGAUAUCUGGAGGAACACCGGUGGCGAAGGCGGCGUCCUGGACCAACACUGACACUGAUGAGCGAAAGCCAGGGGAGCAAACGGG
rnacentral:rRNA from 1 species